GGCCGUGUGGCUCAAUGGCAGAGCGUCUGACUACGAUCAAGUAAAUCAGGAGGUUGCAGGUUCGACCCCUGUCUCGGUCA
rnacentral:tRNA from 1 species